AAUACUACUACCGAUUUAAACACUUAACUUGCACGAUGGGAAGGAUUGCAACGUUUUCUUUGUUCCUUUUUCUUCUGGUUGAUUUUUGUGGAAUUCAUGCAGCUAAUUUUACAAGACGUGAACUACUCAAGAAUUUAACAAGCGAAUCUAUGUAUGACCCGAGUUACCCGUCGGGAUUUGACACAGGAGAUGUGACGGAGGUGAAAGUGCAACUGAACAUAUUUGAUUUGAAUUCAGUCAAUGAUCAAAA